GUGGGGAAUAUUGGACAAUGGGCGAAAGCCUGAUCCAGCCAUGCCGCGUGUGUGAAGAAGGUCUUCGGAUUGUAAAGCACUUUAAGUUGGGAGGAAGGGCAGUAAGCUAAUACCUUGCUGUUUUGACGUUACCGACAGAAUAAGCACCGGCUAACUUCGUGCCAGCAGCCGCGGUAAUACGAAGGGUGCAAGCGUUAAUCGGAAUUACUGGGCGUAAAGCGCGCGUAGGUGGUUCAGCAAGUUGGAGGUGAAAUCCCCGGGCUCAACCUGGGAACUGCCUCCAAAACUGCAUGACUAGAGUACGGUAGAGGGUAGUGGAAUUUCCUGUGUAGCGGUGAAAUGCGUAGAUAUAGGAAGGAACAACAGUGGCGAAGGCGACUACCUGGACUGAUACUGACACUGAGGUGCGAAAGCGUGGGGAGCAAACAGGAUUAGAAACCCGGGUAGUCC
rnacentral:rRNA from 1 species